UUGGUCCUUCCGUAGAGGGCAUUCAGACCGAAAGCCACCAGAGCCCUGUGAAGACGAGAUGAGGAUUUCCGCAGAUCUCAGUCACAGGAAUUUAGCUCCGUCCAUCGGGACAUGUUGAGACAUCCGCCUGUGAAUCCAAACAUGGCUGAAGGCUGCUUUUGAAGCGUCUCAGCAGUAACGGAGACAAUCCUGGAAAAACGAGUGUCAAGCAUCGAAUUCAGCAUCUCCAGUGGAAAAAGCUCACACCUUUGACAGCGUUAACCAGCCUUGGAUUCCAGAGAUCCUGGACGGAGACAG